AAAUUUCAAGCAUAUACCAUCUAGAUCAUAUGAUAAACCCACACAGUAAGUGGAUGUACAUCCAAACAACCAUACUUUAAACUGAUAAUUAAUAAAACUAUGGUAGUUGCAACCGGCUAUUAUCAUAUAAUAAGCUGUCGACACUUUCACUUGUUUUCCCUAGUAUUAUUGACUCUUGACUAGCAUAUUUGAGCAUAUGAACCAAUCUAAAAUUUUGAGAGGAAGAUAUUGAGUCUCUCAUAUACCUUGAAUGAUAGAAAUUAUCUUAAAAUGAGUUCUAAAAAUAAACAACAUUAAAAUGAUAGGUAUAAUAUUCAUUAUAUUUACUAAUAACCGGAGGGAAUAAACAAUAAAAUGAUGAAAAAUAAAAUGAUAAAAUGAAUCACGGGGAAUCCUUUUGUGAGAUGCAUUAGAAUUUGAUUUGCACUAAAAGAUUGCUAGGAAUGUUCCUAGUCCAAGAUGAAUAAGAUAGCUGUUUUAGCAAUCAAGCAUGGUUAUCCUCGACAUACAAAAUUGAACUGGAAUUUGGUCUGCUAAGUUUUCAGAAAAUUACCAAUCUAAAAACGUGCCUAUAUGAUAUACUAGGAACAAGAUGAUUAAAAGAUGCAUGCAGAUAAUUACAUAAAUAGAGGCUGCCAAAGCUAUACCUUAGUUGGUUGUUGUGUUCUUCUUUCCUCCUGCAAAAAUUAUGGUUAAUUGUAAAAUUUUCUCAUCAAAAGCAAUGCAUACAGAUUUAUACGAAUUACUAAACCAAAAUUUUCAUGCUUUACAAACAUCUGAAGCUCAAUUCUAUGCAACUGGUGGUGGCCAGAGGAGGGAACAAGUAGGCGUACUUAUUCACAUAGAAGAUGAAGUACUUUGAACAGAAUAGGUAAACGUAAUGAAUAUAGAAUAAGCAUAUUUUAGCAAGUAGCAUCUAUAACAAUGCUUAACAAUGCUUAACAAUUAAUAAACCAUGAAUUCUUAACAAUGCUUAGGAAAUCAGGAUGCUGACCAAAAGUUGAAGAAUCGAAGAGGCUUAGUCGAAAAAGUGCAAUCUUUCAUCGUUGAAAUUAGGAUUCAUGAUUCAAUUCAACUAGUUUAAGCCCUAGUUUUCAGAAACCUUAGAUGCCACUUUUUAAUGAUAGUUACAUGAUUAAACUUUCUAAAACCUCAUGUUAAAGGUAAAUGCAUGAUUCAAUUUCUAGAAAUGUUGAAUCUUGCGUCAUAAAAAAACAUAAAAGGGAAAACAUGUUGAAAGAAUGUUAGGGCAGACAAUGUUUACCUUGAUUGAAUUGGAAAGGUUUUCUUGAGGGUUUAUUUGGAGAUACUUGGGAUUGAUCUUUACUCGCUGCAUUUGAAGAACACAAGUCUGUUUUGGUCGACAAAACAAUGCUCUGAAAAGGUGCAAGAAAUCGGGAGAGUUCUGAAAAGGUGCAAGAAAUAAAACAGGAAGAGGCUGAAAGUGAAACACGAAUAGAAAUCGGGAGAGGGAGCGGCUGGAGGUUUGGUUCGCCGGUAGCUUCUGUUGAUGUUGGGAGGGAGAGGGUGGGGUGGAGAUCGAUUUCGGCAAGGGGAGGAUAAAACAGAGACCGAUUACCUAAUCUUUGCUUUUGGAAGGGAUUAGGAAAUUGAC
rnacentral:lncRNA from 1 species